CGUCGCUCGCCAACGCCAGCGCCGCCUCUAGCUCGCCGAGCUCCAGCCCAAGGAGAAGAGGGGGAUCGGAAGAGGGUC